UUAACUUGGAUCCUGAAACCAGAUGUGGAGCCUAUGUCAUUUGGUGUGGCCCUACUCAAGUGCUACAUCACUCAGAGGACUUCAACACCCCAGCAUUCAAAUGUAAUGUUGGAGAGGUCCUUGGCCGGCUGGACCCCACUUUGGCCGACUCGUCACACCCACCUGCAACCAGCGAGAUGGUGAGGACCACUCAGCAAGCCCACCAGCCACCAGCUUAGUGCUUGGGCUCCUGGAAACCACCCCCCACCCCUGGCCUCCUGGUUGUGUCGCUACCUGGUUCCACACUACAGAGGCACAGGGGGCAUAAGGGCCAUUG
rnacentral:lncRNA from 1 species